CCAACAGGGACACCUGGAGAGGUUGCUCUCUCUCAGCUCUGUCCAUGUGGCGUAUGGGAGCGUAGGGUUCUGCCCUAUGACGUAAGGUCCUCUUCCACACUGUUGGAGAGCGAGUUGGACCUCUGUGGUCUGCAGCCUGCAUAUUCCUACUGCUUCUCUGAGUCUUUGGACCGUGAAAGAGGAGAUAAACCAUGCAGGAGACAAUU
ensembl:snoRNA SNORA73 Small nucleolar RNA SNORA73 family